rnacentral:lncRNA from 1 species
AUAAUUAUCUAAACAUACGAAACAUAAAUAAAAUCGCAUGCAAUAAUAUCAUACAGUAACUACCAUAACUAAUAGCCAUAGGGGGACAUAAGCUAAAACACAAAUCAUCUAUGGGUAACCCUACUGACCCACUCCCAACCCCGAAUGAGGCGUACGACCUAUCCUACAACCCUAUCCUACAACCCUGAUUCUAGACCUCCAGACUUUCCUAUCAAGGGUCAUGUCCUCGGAAACCUGCAUUCUAGUCAUGUCCUGCCUAAUCACCUNN